UACGGAGGGUGCAAGCGUUAUCCGGAUUCACUGGGUUUAAAGGGUGCGUAGGAGGGCAGGUAAGUCAGUGGUGAAAUCUCCAAGCUUAACUUGGAACUGCCGUUGAUACUAUCUGUCUUGAAUACCGUGGAGGUGAGCGGAAUAUGUCAUGUAGCGGUGAAAUGCUUAGAUAUGACAUAGAACACCAAUUGCGAAUGGCAGCUACGCCUACACGAAUAUUGACUCUGAGGCACGAAAGCGUGGGGAUCAAACAGG
rnacentral:rRNA from 1 species